CGGCAAUAGCUCAAAUUUGAAAUCUGGCACCUUCGGUGUCCGAGUUGUAAUUUGAAGAAGGUAUCUUUGGUUUUGGCUCUUGUCUAUGUUCCUUGGAACAGGACGUCACAGAGGGUGAGAAUCCCGUGCGAUGAGAUGCCCAAUUCCAUGUAAAGUUCCUUCGACGAGUCGAGUUGUUUGGGAAUGCAGCUCUAAGUGGGUGGUAAAUUCCAUCUAAAGCUAAAUAUUGGCGAGAGACCGAUAGCGAACAAGUACUGUGAAGGAAAGAUGAAAAGAACUUUGAAAAGAGAGUGAAAAAGUACGUGAAAUUGUUGAAAGGGAAGGGCUUGAGGUCAGACUUGGUUUUACCAGGCCAGCAUCAGUUUGGAUGGCAGGAUAAUAGCUUAGGAAAGUGGCACUGCUUCGGUAGUGUGUUAUAGCCUGGGUUGAUACUGCCUGUCUAGACUGAGGACUGCGUCUUUGACUAGGAUGCUGGCAUAAUGACCUUAAGCCGCCCGUCU
rnacentral:rRNA from 1 species